GAUGAACGCUGGCGGUAUGCUUAACACAUGCAAGUCGAACGGACUCUUCGGAGUUAGUGGCGGACGGGUGAGUAACGCGUGAGAAUCUGGCUUUGGGUUCGGGACAACCACUGGAAACGGUGGCUAAUACCGGAUGUGCCGAGAGGUAAAAGAGAAAUUGCCUGAAGAUGAGCUCGCGUCUGAUUAGCUAGUUGGUGAGGUAAAGGCUCACCAAGGCAGCGAUCAGUAGCUGGUCUGAGAGGAUGACCAGCCACACUGGGACUGAGACACGGCCCAGACUCCUCGGGGGGGGAGGGGGGGGGAAUUUUCCGAAAGGGGGGAAAGCCUGACGGGGAAAAACGGGGGGAGGAAAGAAGGCUUUUGGGUUGAAACCCUUUUUUUUUAGGGAAAAAAAAAAUGCCGGUACCAAAGGAAUAAGCCUCGGCUAACUCCG
rnacentral:rRNA from 1 species